rnacentral:rRNA from 1 species
UACGUAGGGUGCGAGCGUUAAUCGGAAUUACUGGGCGUAAAGCGUGCGCAGGCGGUAAGUUAAGUCUGAUGUGAAAGCCCCGGGCUCAACCUGGGAAUGGCAUUGGAAACUGGCUUGCUGGAGUGUGGCAGAGGGGGGUGGAAUUCCGCGUGUAGCAGUGAAAUGCGUAGAUAUCGUGAGGAACACCAGAGGCGAAGGCGGCUACCUGGACAAUUGCUGACGCUCAGGCACGAAAGCGUGGGGAGCAAAAGGG